GCCCGCUUGGCUAAGUGGUAUAGCGUGUCACUAGUACCAUGGGACUCAUUAAAAGAAUCUCGUAGACUAAAUGCCAUGACAAGAUCAGCGGUUCGAUUCCGCUAGUGGGCA